rnacentral:tRNA from 1 species
GGAGGGUUAGCUCAGUUAGUUGAGCGUAGCGCUAACAACGCUAAAGUCGCGGGUUCGUUUCCCUUUCAGUCCC